ensembl:lncRNA
UCCACUAAAGCAUUCCUAUAGUUGCCGACAGCCUUAUCCCACCCCCACACUUGAACACUCAUUCUCCGGUUAAAAAGCUAUGUUACUUAUGUUUCUGUAGCAGUUUAGUGAACUUAAAGCAAUCUGAGAAAAGAGACACACACAAAAAGUACUCCAUCAAAAUGAGAAGCAGAAAAUAACAGGGAAAGUGUGCUUACUUUCUUCUCUUCCAUUAUUCAUUCACACUUUGAUCUAAAAAAAAGCCAUAGUUGAGACCAAUCUAGUUAGGCUUUAUAUUGUGGGGCAGCAGUGACUCGACGUUGGGUAUCAGAGAAGCAGAGAACCAGGGCUCUCUGAGAAAUGGCUGACUUCAGGACUGGUACAGAGGUAGUACAAGGUUGAAGGAUCCUAAAGAGACUGAACUGAACUGAACUGAAAGACUUGACAACAAAAUGAAAUAUGUGAUCCCAGCUAAGCCAUCCCUGGACUCUGACCUACAGAAACUGAGAUAAUAAAUAGGUACUGUUUUAAACCACUAAGUUUUUGGUAAUUUGUGACAUGAUAAAGAAUACUAAUCUAUAGGUGAUUUUACUCAGGGGACAUAGGUACAAAAAUCUUGAACAAAAGAUUAGCAGACAGAACCCAGCAAUUCAUGAAGAUGAUACUAUGUCACAAAUAAGAUAGCUUUCUCUGAAAUGUCAUGUCCACCUUCAGGGGAUCUUCCCAACCCAGGGAUCGGACCCAGGUCUCCUGCAUUGCAGGCAGAUUCUUUACUGUCUGAGCCACCAGGGAAGCCCAAGAAAUAGAAAGUGAG